AAAGGACUGCUUUGUUGGUGACGGCCUUUUCUAGUGCUCUGAUCUGACUCUCUUCUCGACUUGGGGAGGCUGUCGUGACGGUGACGUAAACCGGUCUUGCUGCCGGAAACGAAUCCCCACUUUGCUUCCUCUUCUGGUUCUACCAGGUCGAACACUUGGGCUCGCACGGCAUGGCGGUUCAUCU
rnacentral:other from 3 species